rnacentral:rRNA from 1 species
UACGUAGGGGGGCAAGCGUUGUCCGGAAUUAUUGGGCGUAAAGAGCGUGUAGGCGGUCCGGUAAGUCAGCUGUGAAAAGUCAAGGGCUCAACCCUUGAAAGCCGGUUGAUACUGUCGGGCUAGAGUCCGGAAGAGGCGAGUGGAAUUCCCGGUGUAGCGGUGAAAUGCGCAGAUAUCAGGAAGAACACCAAUGGCGAAAGCAGCUCUCUGGGACGGUACUGACGCUGAGACGCGAAAGCGUGGGGAGCGAACAGG